GAACCUGACCUUCUUCUACCUGCCCUCUUCACCUGGCCCUAACCCUUCUCUACCUGGCCUUAAAACUUCUUCUACCUGGCCCUAACACUUCUUCUACCUGGCCCCGAACCUUCUACCUGUCCUAAACCCUUCGACCCUUGGCUCUAACCCUUCUACCUGGUCCUAACCCUUCUACCUGGCCCUAACCCUUCUACCUGGUCCUAACCCUUCCAUGUUGUUCAAUGUUUCCACUUUGCAGAUCUGAAGGCCUAUACAUCCCUCCCAUUAAUCCUCUCCUAUGGGAUAGACAUGAAAAUGAUGCUGGUCCAUUCCAUUACUACUUGGUGUCUGUAGCCUCUGCUACACUCAUACUGACCCCUAGGCCUCAGUCUCACUACUGGGUUAUCAUCACAUAAACUCAAUCUCAAAUGGUCUUUCCACCGUUUCUCACAACCUCUCCUCACCUCCUGCUCACCAUAUUGGAGGAGAAGGUCCAAGGUCCCUCCCCUCUAACCUUCUUCUCCAAUGAGUUUUGAGAAGGUGAGGAGAGAAAAUGUCAGGAAUAGAAGAGAAAUGGGCUUAUACAGGGGACAAUCAGAGCCCACCUAUCCCGCCUACUCAUCCCUUAUCUCUCGGUCUCUCAGGAUGAUGAAAGGCAAGUUUGAAGAUGAUGAUGAUGGCAUCGACCUGAAUGACAUGGAGAAGUUCCUGCCAGGCCUUACUGGUUUCCUGCCCCUGCCUAAUGAAGCAGAGAUCGCACACACCAAAACGCUCUUCCGACGCAGGAGGAACGACCGACGGUAAGCACACACACACACACACACACACACACUCCUCUCCAGGAGCGUUGUUGCAGCGCUGAUGAAACACUGUCAGCCCAGAACCCUUAACUCUUCUCUCCAGCCAAAGUAAUGUAAAAGCAGGAAUUCUCCUGGUCCCAGACUCUCUUGCACAUAGACAGAAAAGUCUUCUGGUCUGUGUGUCUGAGUCUAAUUGUCUGUGUCUCAAAGGUUUUUAGUAUUGCACUAUAUAGGGAAUA
rnacentral:lncRNA from 1 species